rnacentral:tRNA from 2 species
GGAAAUUUAGGAUAAUUUUAGUCCAGAGAGCCUUCAAAGCUUAAAGCAGAAGUUAAAAUCUUCUAAUUUCCG